UUGAUAUUGUAUUGUCUUUUUAAUUUAUUUUCUCCAAGUUGUAUGAUUCUUCUAAGUACCACCACAUGCUUUUAAGCUUUUGGGAAAUGAAGAGUCAUUGAGCUUAUGAUUUGUAUAGAUUUGUGAUCUUUUGAAAUAGUAAACUAAGUCCUAGCACAAAAUCAAUUUGUGUUAGGGUUUGGAUUUAAAACCCCAAAUUUUCUUAUUCUUGCUUUUAUUGUUUAAAUCGCUAAGUAGUAAUUUUAAGAAUAUUAAAAAUUAACUUUAAAACACUCGAUUACGCAGCUCGAUUUACUCUGUUUCUGUUUAGUUUAAAAUUACAUCCCCUGUUUUCGUUUAAAACACAACGAACCCAGUUUCUUUUCUUUUCUUUAAUUUCAGUUUAAAACCUCAAAACCCUUAUCUUGUUGUUUCGUUAAUUGCUGAGUUGUAUGAUUUCUGAGUUAUGUUCAUAUAAAUCUGGUUUCAUGGGUAUUCCGAUUUCCGAGUUCACCGAUUUGCUUUGUUUGUGUUGAUUUGAGUUGACUCGCCGUAUAGUCCUGGGUUUUGUAACCGAGUCGCCAUUGUUGAGUCCUGAGUAGCCCCUGUUUCGAGUUUGUUUUACUAUGUUUUCAUCGAGUCGUCGUUUUGGUUCGAGUAGCUGAGUUACAGAGUCGUUUUCUUUGCUGAGUCCCGAGUCUAGUACGAGUCUGCAUCGCGUCCAGUGUUGUUACUAAGUCGAGCAUCUGGUCUGGUCAUUAGUUCGUUUAUCGCAGCUGAGUUUUAUGUUUUAUGUCGAGGUUAACAGCUGAGUCGAAACCUCGCCAAGUUCGUGUUAAUCGAGUCUUCGAGUUCUCUGUUUUCCGAGUCAUAGUCUGAGAAACUCUGCUGCGAUUUUGAGUCCUGUUUGUUUUAGUUUGAAUCGCUGAGUCUUGAUUCCGAGUCUAUAAACUGAGUUAUGUGUAUACUUUGUUUUCGAUUUGUGGAGUAUAAGUUUGGGAGUGUUGCUGCGUGUUUAUUCGAGUGCUUUUUCCUGUUUACAACCUUGUUUUCUGCUGUGCUGCGUUUUCGUUUGUUGUUGGUUUGAACCUUGGCUGAGUGCUGAGUUUGUUCUUUAGUUUGAGGCGCUACUGAGUCAGUUUCUGAGUCGGGUUCUUCUCUAAGUAUUCUGCUGCGAUUUGCGCCAAGUUCAGGGGUUUAGUCUCCGAUUUUGGCCUGCCUUUUGUUCUUUUCAUUGCUUUGUACUGUUGGGUCGCCAAGUCUGAUAUUUUUGCCGUUUGUUUUAGUUUAGUCGCGAGUCUGUAUUGAUGCUUGAUGUAAUGAGUUUACUGCUAGUGUAGUUAAUUGUUUUUUUUUGUUUACAGUCCACCACCGAGCACUAUCUUUGUAGCACUGGCCUUUGAGUAGUAAAAGAAAAUAAUGAAGUUUAGUUUUAUUUUUGCUGCGUUGAAAAUUCUGUGUCACUUAGUUAGUUGAAAAUGACAUGUGAGUUUGUUUAUUUACUGAGACAUGUGACUUUGGUUUUGGUUUAGAUCUUUCUCACUUUUUGUUCUUUAUUUCGAGGAGGAAUAUUCGGGAAUUAUGGAGUAAAGUGGACAAAUUUUGCUCGGAUUUGGAAGCUUGCUUUGGUAUCCCGUAUCUCUCCACUCUUAUUUUUCGUUUUUAUUUAGAAAAUCACAAACAAAUCUGAAUAUUGAAAAAGCACACAAACAAAUUAUAAAUUUAAAAUCCAAAAAUAGUAGUUAGAAUUAAAUAUGUGUUGCAUCAUGCAUUUUAACACUUAGGGCACAUCAUUUAGAUUUUAAUUUUUGUUUUUAAAUUUUCGUACCUUUAAUUGUGGUGAUCGCUGGAGGACCCUAAGGUACGUUAAUUUCUUUCUUUCUCUAGAUUAGGACACGUAGUUUAAAGCAUCCAUAUUUGUUUACCGCUUUUAUUAUCUCGUUGUGUGGAGCAUCAUUUUAAAUAAAUCUUAAGGGCAAAACCCACUCAUAAGAUAAGGGAAGGGAUUUCAUCACUCUUUCCUUGGCCCACAACGAUUUAAUUACUUCAUUUUGCAUUUCCCUAGCCUUUUAAUAAAAUUGAAUUAGACGUUAGCCCCUAGGAUUUCGCGCUCAACUAGGAAGGUACCUAAAAGACGAGGUAAUCUUUAAUUAUUCCGACUUUUCGGUGUCUAAGGCAAGCGAAAGCUUACCUGGCCGAUUAAGGUUUGGUGUCUAAGCGCGGAGAUUGGCCUCUUGGCAAUGCCUGCUCCAAACUGGCCAGACCGGUCCGAAUAAUUUUGGAUUUAUCAAGUUUUUGGUGGUCCUUAACGUUAGGAGCAAGGUCUAGUUCAUUUUAUUAGGGAACCCUAGAGUUAGGUUUUUCUUUCACUUUUACACCCUUUAUUUUGUUUGUUUUACAUUCUCGCACUUAUUUGCUACGUGUUUACUAUCUAGUUUAUGCGAACUACUUGGGUUAGGAACGAAUCGUCUAGAUUAGUAAGACCUAUAAUCGAGAUUCCCUCGUCCUCUUCGGAUUCCGAAACCCUAGAAGUUCUAGAACCGAUAGUAAACAUGGCCCUUUCACUCAAGGAUCGUUGUUAUCCAUCUCGUUCAAGUCAACCUUCGUGCAUCACCCUUCCUCCCGUUAAUGGGAACAAUUUUGAAAUCAAAGCUCACCACAUUAGCAUGUUACCUAAACUUACCGGGAGUGAGGGUGAGGAUCCUUAUCUUUUUAUCCAAGAGUUUGAGGAAGUUUGUUCCCUCCAAAAGCUCCACCAAUUAACGGAAGAUUCGAUUAGACUUAGGCUCAUUAAUUUUGCGCUUAAGGAGAAUGCGAAAAAAUGGUUAUAUAGUCUUCCCGUUAAUUCUAUUUCCACGUGGGAGGGGUUCGUUGUGGUGUUUCUUAAAAAGUAUUUUCCAAAUCAUAAGACUACUCGAAUUACAAAUGAAAUAAAUCAAUUUCAUCAAAAGGAAAACGAGUCUUUUUGGAUUUUCUUUGACCGCUUCAAAAAUCUUCUUUUACAAUGCCCCCACCACGGAAUAGAAAAAAGGAGACUUUGCAAGAUAAUUUACGAGGCCUUAGAUAGUCAAACCACUGCGUUAUUAGAGUCUAUGUGCCAAGGUAAAUUCAUGGAAAAAGAUGAGGACCAAGGGUGGGAAUUUUUUGAGGAUUUAGCGGAAAAGACAAUGAUGUGGGAGUCAACUAGGGAACCCAAAAAGUCAAUUCAGUCGUCUAGUGCUAGUGGUUUGCAUUCGAUAGGAAACAAUGUGGCAACCGAUGCCAAAUUAGCUACCCUAACUAGGAGACUUGAAGCUUUAGAAACUAGUAAACCUCCCACACAAAUGUCGACGCACCCUUGUUACAAUUUUCAAAAUCCCGCAACUCAACCCUUGCACGAGUUUGAACAAGUAAAUGCUAUGUUCCAAAAUUCUAGGAAUGAUGCGUUUGCACCCACUUAUAAUCCCGGGUGGAGAAAUCACCCAAAUUUCUCAUGGACCCAAGGUCAAAAUUGUCAAGUUCCUCAACCCAAUUUUCAAAUGAAUCAAGGGCCAAAUUCUUUUCCAACUCCUCAACAAAAUUUUCAACAAAGGCCCAACCCAAACUCUUACCCAAAUCAAGGUCCAAAUUCAUGUCAUAACCCAAUUCAAACUCCUUUGAAUCCUCCCGGUUUCAAUGAUUCGGAUAAACGCCUCAAUUCCUUAGAAAAGAGUUUGGAAGCCUUAGUUAAAUCGCAAACUAAUUUGACUCAAUCACAACAAACUUUCAUGACAACCCUAACCCAAGAUAGGCAAAUUUUGCAUUCUAAUGUGCAAGCCGUGUCUAAGUUAGAGGCCCAAUUGAGUCAAUUAGCUAGCGCGUUGUGUGAGCGAGAGAAGAACAAGUUGCCAAGUCAACCCGAGGUCAAUCCUAAGUUUCCUCUCAAUCAAAGACCUCCCGAGAAUGUUAAUGCGAUUAUUUCUCUAAGGUCGGGAAAUCAAGUGGAUAACAAAGUUGGUGAGAACGUGAAUAAAAAUGAGGAGUCGAUUCCUGAACCAAAUCCUUCUUUGUCUAGCACUAUUUAUGACAAACCCGAAUGUUCUAGAAUCCGUGAGUCUAUGAGUGAACCUAGUCCGGGGCCCAUUUCUCAAAGGCCCAACGAAGAAGUUUACAAGCCAAAGGUUCCUUACCCACAAAGACUCAUUCGCCCUAAACAAUCGGCCCAAAUGGAACAAAUCUUAGAGGUUUUCAAAAAAGUCAAGAUUAACAUUCCUCUUUUAGAUGCCAUUCAACAAGUUCCCUCUUAUGCUAAGUGUCUAAAAGAUUUGUGUACCCAUAAGAGAACCACUCGUGUUCCAAAGAAAGCCUUUUUGACCUCUCAAGUUAGCUCGAUUCUCUCGAAUCAAAUUCCCGUGAAAUAUAAGGACCCCGGUUGUCCUACAAUUUCUUGUGUCAUAGGCAAUACUUUUGUGGAUAAAGCUUUACUUGAUUUAGGAGCGAGUGUGAAUCUUCUUCCUUUCUCGGUCUACCAAGCCCUAGGUUUAGGGGAUCUCAAGUCCACCAAUAUGACCCUUCAACUUGCCGAUCGUUCCAUUAAAAUGCCAAAGGGGAUUAUUGAGGACGUUUUGAUCAAAAUAGGUGAUUUUAUCUUUCCCGUUGACUUUGUUGUUCUCGAGACUCAACCCGUCUCGAAUCCUAAGAACCAAAUUCCUAUCAUUUUAGGACGACCUUUUCUUGCUACAUCCAAUGCCUUAAUCAAUUGUAGGAAUGGUUCAAUGAAGCUCACUUUUGGAAACAUGACCAUUGACUUAAACAUUUUCAAUGUAGGAAAAGAACCCAAUGAGCUUUAUGAGCAACCUAUAGGGGUCAAUGUGGUCAACAAGUUUGUCACAUGGUCUAGCUUUGAGGAUAGUGAGAUUGAGUCUCUUCUCAACGAGGAUUUCAAAGUCAACAACGAGAAGAAUAGAGAAUAUCACGAGUCUUUGAGAGAGUUGACCUCGGAGGAGAUGUUAGGAGAAUUGAACGACAUUUGUUCAAAAUGGGAAACUCCACCCGAGAUGGUUAGUGUUGACCCUAGGCCCGAUUUUGAGAGUCAUGUAGGUGAACCACCGACAUUUGACUCGUUGUUCCAUCCUUCACAUAGUGCCUUAGGAAAAGAUGACACUAUUUCUUACAUCGUUCCUACUGAUUUAUCCUAUGACCAAAAUUGCAUAGUCUCUAAUUUGCUUGAUAAUAAAGAAGCAUUAAGUUGGUUUAGGGAGAACAUUAGUGAUACUUGUCAUAUAGGGUUAAACGAUUGUCACAUGCUAGAGAAAGUCUUUGUGCCUAAAAAUUUUCAUACACAUUUUGACUCUUUCUCGAAGCUUCCUCCCAUAUUUCCUUCCGGAAUUGGCUGAAGUGGUUCCUUCUUAGAACCUUCCCUCGUGAAGUUCAGGUAUGGGGAAGGAAAUGUGUGAGUGUGUGGGUCGUGUUAGUGUUUCGUUCGUUAAUAAAAAUCCCCUUCAUAUCCAUUUCAGGUAUUUUUCUCUUUACUCUCUCAUUUCAAUUCUCUCUUUUGCAUACAUUGAGGACAAUGCAUGAUUUAGGUAUGGGGAGGGCUUUAGUGUAAUUCUUAAAAAAUGAAAAACCCUAAAAAAUGAAAAAUUAGAAAAAUCCAAAAAUAGAGAUGUUUUAGCUAAGUUGUCUUUCCCUCACUCAAAUUUUAGGAGUAGUCGGUGUUUACAUGUUUUCGAAAAGUAUAUAUAUGUAGUGUCUUUUAGAUAAUUUGAACGUAGUUGAGUAAGGUUGUCUUUUUGAAGCUUGUAUCGACCUAUUUGUACUCUAAGCACACACAUUUGCACAAGACCUUUGAUGGAGAGAUUGUCUAGUGAUAUUAUUCGAUACCUGAGAGAGAACCCACAUGUUGAAACAAUGUCGAAUCGAGCCUUUGCGAAGAAAAAAAAAAGAAAAGAAAAAAAGAGAUAGAAAAAGAAAAAAAAGAGAGAAGGAAUAACUACUUCAAUACCCAUUGUUCUUUAUAGAUAAAAUCUUUAGAUAAAUGGGCAAAAGUAGAUUGGCUAGUCUCGUUUUGUGGCCUUUGUUACUCGAGCAAUUAAGUCCGUAGGGGGAUUUCAAAACCUAGUGCCCUAAGACCGUUUGGUUUGGGAGUCACUGACCCAAAGCUCGCUACAUGGGUAACAUUGUUUGCCUAAGAAAACGGACAAAAUAAAGUCAAUGCAAAAACAAAAAAAAGAAGAAAAAAAAAAGAAAAAAAGAAGAAGAAUAAGAGUUUGUGAAGUUUGGCUAGAUAUUUGUUUCGAUAGAGAUUGGGUCAGUUCAAAAUUGGUUGAAAAAGAGAAAAUGUUCUUAGACAAUUAGGAUCCAUCAAAGGCCUUAAAUUACUUACACUCCUUGGAUUUCUAGUAAAUUUUUGAGUCGAUUUCAAGUAGAUUAGAGGCAAUUGUAUCUUGAUUAUUAGUAAAAGAGUCUUUGAGUUGUAUUUUCCUUAGAAACGCUUUCAGUUAACACCAACGAAAUUAGAGUAGAGUCGAGUAGACACUUGCUAGAAUGUCUCGAAGAUUUUAUGGGUACAUCUUCUGUAAACCCUUAGGAGACAAAACUCCUCUUGUAGAGAUCGUCUACGAGUUUAACGGGUUGGUGAACCUAAAAUCACCCGUCACGCCUACGAAAAGGAGCCUAGGAAUCGCAUCUAGUUUUCUUAGUUUAUUUUCUUUUCUUUUGAUUUUUACUCGAGGACGAGCAAAAGAUAGGUAUGGGGAAGUUUGAUUAGUCCAUAUUUUUGCAUAUUUAAGUGCCUAUUUUUUGUUUAUUUUCGUAGUAUUAAUCGCUUAUUUAUUUUAUUUCAGGAAAUUGUAGAUAAAUAAAGAAAAAAGAGAAAAUGCAAGAAAAAGAAGAAAAAGAAAAGAAAAAAGAAGAAAAUCAAAGAGAGUUGGCAAGCAAGGGGGCACAUGGAUGGCUAUGAUUUACCCAACACACAUCACACAUGGAUGGAUUAGAUUUAGCCACCCUACCCCUAAACCCUACAAUUCUAGCUAUAAAUACCCCCACCCCCUUUACUUGUAAUCACCAUAUUUUUAACCUAGUCUUUUCCUAGUUGGUAGGUAGUAUAGUGCUAGAUCUUCUUUUGUUCUCUCAAUUUCAUACCAUAUUUGUAAGCACUUUUCAUUUUAGUGCAAAUUUCUUUUAGCUUGAUCUUGUAUUGUCUUUUUAAUUUAUUUUCUCCAAGUUGUAUGAUUCUUCUAAGUACCACCACAUGCUUUUAAGCUUUUGGGAAAUGAAGAGUCAUUGAGCUUAUGAUUUGUAUAGAUUUGUGAUCUUUUGAAAUAGUAAACUAAGUCCUAGCACAAAAUCAAUUUGUGUUAGGGUUUGGAUUUAAAACCCCAAAUUUUCUUAUUCUUGCUUUUAUUGUUUAAAUCGCUAAGUAGUAAUUUUAAGAAUAUUAAAAAUUAACUUUAAAACACUCGAUUACGCAGCUCGAUUUACUCUGUUUCUGUUUAGUUUAAAAUUACAUCCCCUGUUUUCGUUUAAAACACAACGAACCCAGUUUCUUUUCUUUUCUUUAAUUUCAGUUUAAAACCUCAAAACCCUUAUCUUGUUGUUUCGUUAAUUGCUGAGUUGUAUGAUUUCUGAGUUAUGUUCAUAUAAAUCUGGUUUCAUGGGUAUUCCGAUUUCCGAGUUCACCGAUUUGCUUUGUUUGUGUUGAUUUGAGUUGACUCGCCGUAUAGUCCUGGGUUUUGUAACCGAGUCGCCAUUGUUGAGUCCUGAGUAGCCCCUGUUUCGAGUUUGUUUUACUAUGUUUUCAUCGAGUCGUCGUUUUGGUUCGAGUAGCUGAGUUACAGAGUCGUUUUCUUUGCUGAGUCCCGAGUCUAGUACGAGUCUGCAUCGCGUCCAGUGUUGUUACUAAGUCGAGCAUCUGGUCUGGUCAUUAGUUCGUUUAUCGCAGCUGAGUUUUAUGUUUUAUGUCGAGGUUAACAGCUGAGUCGAAACCUCGCCAAGUUCGUGUUAAUCGAGUCUUCGAGUUCUCUGUUUUCCGAGUCAUAGUCUGAGAAACUCUGCUGCGAUUUUGAGUCCUGUUUGUUUUAGUUUGAAUCGCUGAGUCUUGAUUCCGAGUCUAUAAACUGAGUUAUGUGUAUACUUUGUUUUCGAUUUGUGGAGUAUAAGUUUGGGAGUGUUGCUGCGUGUUUAUUCGAGUGCUUUUUCCUGUUUACAACCUUGUUUUCUGCUGUGCUGCGUUUUCGUUUGUUGUUGGUUUGAACCUUGGCUGAGUGCUGAGUUUGUUCUUUAGUUUGAGGCGCUACUGAGUCAGUUUCUGAGUCGGGUUCUUCUCUAAGUAUUCUGCUGCGAUUUGCGCCAAGUUCAGGGGUUUAGUCUCCGAUUUUGGCCUGCCUUUUGUUCUUUUCAUUGCUUUGUACUGUUGGGUCGCCAAGUCUGAUAUUUUUGCCGUUUGUUUUAGUUUAGUCGCGAGUCUGUAUUGAUGCUUGAUGUAAUGAGUUUACUGCUAGUGUAGUUAAUUGUUUUUUUUUGUUUACAGUCCACCACCGAGCACUAUCUUUGUAGCACUGGCCUUUGAGUAGUAAAAGAAAAUAAUGAAGUUUAGUUUUAUUUUUGCUGCGUUGAAAAUUCUGUGUCACUUAGUUAGUUGAAAAUGACAUGUGAGUUUGUUUAUUUACUGAGACAUGUGACUUUGGUUUUGGUUUAGAUUCUUUUAAUUGUUUUCUGGUUUUGUUUUGUUUUUAGUUAAUUUUUCAUGUGCCCGAUAAGUUUUAUAGUUAGAUUUUUCAUAAGUAAUAAUUAAUUAGUUAAAGAUUUGGCCAGUGAUUUAAUUAGUUAAUCGGAAAGUUUUAGAUAUUAUUUUGAAACCAAAUUUCACAAAAUUAAUUGUUCUAAUUCGCCUAGGUUAAGAAUUUAGGUUGCGAAAAUAAUUUUAAUCUCUGUGGAUCGAAUCAUAAAUAUUAAAACGGUGAUCGUGCGCUUGCGAUUUAAAAGUAUUAUUUCUAGCACAUCAAAUAUAUAUCACUUGCUAACAAUAAAUCUCAAUUGGUCUAUUUAGGGCAUCUUCAACUGGGUUAACUAAAAUUAGAAUCACAAAACUAUGCAAAAUUUGUUGAAUUAGUAAGACAUUGUGCUAUAAUAGGUCAACAUCUAUACUAUCUAUACUAUACUAUAAAAAGGCAACAUGGGUAUAAUUUGUCGUCGUACAAAAUUUUGGUUUGGUCAUGUUGGUUUGGUGAUUCACUUUAUAACUAAAAGUCUCCUACACGUAGAGUUCUCAUAAUCAUACAUCUCCAAACAGUUUGAUAUACUACAAGAUAAAAACUCCACCA
rnacentral:lncRNA from 1 species